GCUGCCCGAAAUCUACCUGACGCGCCUCCUGUCCACCAAAGGAACGCUGCAGAAGUUCUUGGACGACCUCUUUCAGGCCAUCCUCAGCAUCCCCCCGGAACAGCCCCCGCUGGCGGUCAAAUACUUCUUUGACUUCCUGGAGGAGCAGGCCGACAAACGGGGCAUCACCGACCCGGACACCCUCCACAUCUG